rnacentral:rRNA from 1 species
AGAGUUUGAUCAUGGCUCAGAUUGAACGCUGGCGGCAGGCCUAACACAUGCAAGUCGAGCGCGAAAGGCUUUCGGGCUGAGUAGAGCGGCGGACGGGUGAGUAACGCGUAGGAAUCUACCUGGUAGUGGGGGACAACUUGGGGAAACUCAAGCUAAUACCGCAUACGCCCUAUGGGGGAAAGCGGGGGACCUUCGGGCCUCGCGCUAUCAGAUGAGCCUGCGUAGGAUUAGCUUGUUGGUGAGGUAAAGGCUCACCAAGGCGACGAUCCUUAGCUGGUCUGAGAGGAUGAUCAGCCACACUGGGACUGAGACACGGCCCAGACUCCUACGGGAGGCAGCAGUGGGGAAUAUUGCGCAAUGGGGGCAACCCUGACGCAGCCAUGCCGCGUGUGUGAAAAGGCCUUCGGGUUGUAAAGCACUUUAAGUGGGGAGAAAAGGGUAGCGGUUAAUAGCCGUUACCUGUGAUGUUACCCACAGAAUAAGCACCGGCUAACUCCGUGCCAGCAGCCGCGGUAAUACGGAGGGUGCGAGCGUUAAUCGGAAUUACUGGGCGUAAAGCGCGCGUAGGCGGUUUGUUAAGUCAGCUGUGAAAGCCCCGGGCUCAACCUGGGAACUGCAGUUGAUACUGGCCGACUAGAGUACGAGAGAGGGAGGUAGAAUUCCAUGUGUAGCGGUGAAAUGCGUAGAUAUAUGGAGGAAUACCGGUGGCGAAGGCGGCCUCCUGGCUCGAUACUGACGCUGAGGUGCGAAAGCGUGGGGAUCAAACAGGAUUAGAUACCCUGGUAGUCCACGCCGUAAACGAUGUCUACUAGCCGUUGGGAGACUUGAUUUCUUAGUGGCGCAGCUAACGCAAUAAGUAGACCGCCUGGGGAGUACGGCCGCAAGGUUAAAACUCAAAUGAAUUGACGGGGGCCCGCACAAGCGGCGGAGCAUGUGGUUUAAUUCGAUGCAACGCGAAGAACCUUACCAGGUCUUGACAUCCAGAGAACUUGGCAGAGAUGCCUUGGUGCCUUCGGGAGCUCUGAGACAGGUGCUGCAUGGCUGUCGUCAGCUCGUGUCGUGAGAUGUUGGGUUAAGUCCUGUAACGAGCGCAACCCUUGUCCUUAGUUGCCAGCACGUAAUGGUGGGAACUCUAAGGAGACUGCCGGUGACAAACCGGAGGAAGGUGGGGACGACGUCAAGUCAUCAUGGCCCUUACGACCUGGGCUACACACGUGCUACAAUGGAACGUACAGAGGGCAGCAAAGGCGCGAGCUGGAGCCAAUCCCACAAAACGUUUCGUAGUCCGGAUCGGAGUCUGCAACUCGACUCCGUGAAGUCGGAAUCGCUAGUAAUCGUGGAUCAGAAUGCCACGGUGAAUACGUUCCCGGGCCUUGUACC